UGUCCCUACGGGAGGCAGCAGUAGGGAAUCUUCGGCAAUGGACGGAAGUCUGACCGAGCAACGCCGCGUGAGUGAAGAAGGUUUUCGGAUCGUAAAGCUCUGUUGUAAGAGAAGAACGAGUGUGAGAGUGGAAAGUUCACACUGUGACGGUAUCUUACCAGAAAGGGACGGCUAACUACGUGCCAGCAGCCGCGGUAAUACGUAGGUCCCGAGCGUUGUCCGGAUUUAUUGGGCGUAAAGCGAGCGCAGGCGGUUAAGUAAG
rnacentral:rRNA from 1 species